UGCAGUUCGGUUUCAAACAUUGCAUAAGAAUCCAAACAUUUGACAUGUUGCCUGUUACUUUGAGGGAAAAGAUUUUACUUCUCAUGGAUUUUCAGCUCAGACAAAACCACCAAAUGUGCAUCCACCACAGGAGGCAGAAGAUCUGACCCAAGAAGAAAAAUGACCCUGGAGUUCUGGAUUACACUCUGGAAGCCUUUUUCAUGCUGAUCAUCAUAGUGCUCGGAGCAGGAGCUUCUAUAAGAAGCAAGGAGAAGAAAUGGUACUGGAAAAACUAUCCGGGUUUAAAGGAAAUGUGUGUCGGAUCAACCUUCUGCAACUCUGCCUGUGACCUCGCUGAUGAGAGCAGAGGACAGACUGAUAAAGAGGAAUCCUCUGGAAAACAUACCACCACAGCUGAGAAAGAAGACGACAAUGCCAUAAAGAAAGACAGAUGA